rnacentral:rRNA from 1 species
AGUAAUGUAUAGGAAUCUACCUAGUAGUACGGAAUAAUUGUUGGAAACGGCAACUAAUACCGUAUACGCCCUACGGGGGAAAGAUUUAUCGCUAUUAGAUGAGCCUAUAUUAGAUUAGCUAGUUGGUAAGGUAAUGGCUUACCAAGGCAAUGAUCUAUAGCUGAUCUGAGAGGAUGAUCAGCCACACUGGAACUGAGAUACGGUCCAGACUCCUACGGGAGGCAGCAGUGGGGAAUAUUGGACAAUGGGCGAAAGCCUGAUCCAGCCAUGCCGCAUGAGUGAAGAAGGCCUUUGGGUUGUAAAGCUCUUUCGGUGAGGAAGAUAAUGACGGUACUCACAGAAGAAGUCCUGGCUAACUCCGUGCCAGCAGCCGCGGUAAUACGGAGAGGGCUAGCGUUAUUCGGAAUUAUUGGGCGUAAAGAGCGCGUAGGCUGGUUAGUAAGUUAAAAGUGAAAUCCCAAAGCUCANCUUUGGAAUUGCUUUUAAAACUGCU